AACCCGUGUUGCGGACAUGUCCUGAGCAAUCCCUUGAACCUUUCUCAUGCUUCAUAAAGGUAUUCGUUGUCCUUCUGAGCAAAGCAAGCUAUAUUAGAUUUAAGCUU